CCUGGCUCAGGAUGAACGCUAGCGGCAGGCUUAACACACGCAAGUCGAGGGGUAACGAUUCUGAGUAAUCGGAAGGCGACGACCGGCGCACGGGUGAGUAUCGCGUUUGUAACCUACCUCAAACUGGAGCAUAGCCCGAAGAAAUUCGGAUUAAUACUCCAUAAUACUAUUUUCAGGCAUCUGAAAAUAGUUAAAGCUUCGGCGGUUUGAGAUGGGCAUGCGUAACAUUAGUUUGUUGGUGAGGUAACAGCUCACCAAGACUACGAUGUUUAGGGGGUCUGAGAGGAUAGUCCCCCACACUGGUACUGAGACACGGACCAGACUCCUACGGGAGGCAGCAGUGAGGAAUAUUGGUCAAUGGGCGAAAGCCUGAACCAGCCAUGCCGCGUGAAGGAUGACGGCCCUAGUGGUUGUAAACUUCUUUUAUACGGGAAGAAACCCCUCUACGUGUAGAGGGUUGACGGUACCGUACGAAUAAGCAUCGGCUAACUCCGUGCCAGCAGCCGCGGUAAUACGGAGGAUGCAAGCGUUAUCCGGAUUUAUUGGGUUUAAAGGGUGCGUAGGCGGAAAAUUAAGUCAGUGGUGAAAUCCUGCAGCUUAACUGUAGAACUGUCAUUGAUACUGAUUUUCUUGAAUACAGUUGAGGUAGGCGGAAUGUGUAAUGUAGCGGUGAAAUGCUUAGAUAUUACACAGAACACCGAUUGCGAAGGCAGCUUACUAAACUGUGAUUGACGCUGAGGCACGAAAGCGUGGGGAGCAAACAGGAUUAGAUACCCUGGUAGUCCACGCUGUAAACGAUGAUCACUCGUUGUUGGCAAUACAUCGUCAGCGACUGAGCGAAAGCAUUAAGUGAUCCACCUGGGAAGUACGUUCGCAAGAAUGAAACUCAAAG
rnacentral:rRNA from 1 species